CACUCAUAAGGCUGAGCUGUGAUGGGGAGAGGAAAUUGUUUCCUCGAGUCGUUGAUUUCACACUGCCGAGAAAAGCCUCUAGAUAGAUAACAGGUGCCCGUACCGCAAACCGACACAGGUAGUCAAGAUGAGAAUUCUAAGGUGAGCGAGCGAACUCUCGUUAAGGAACUCGGCAAAAUGACCCCGUAACUUCGGGAGAAGGGGUGCUCUUUAGGGUUCACGCCCAGAAGAGCCGCAGUGAAUAGGCCCAAGCGACUGUUUAUCAAAAACACAGGUCUCUGCUAAACCGUAAGGUGAUGUAUAGGGGCUGACGCCUGCCCGGUGCUGGAAGGUUAAGAGGAGUGGUUAGCUUCUGCGAAGCUACGAAUCGAAGCCCCAGUAAACGGCGGCCGUAACUAUAACGGUCCUAAGGUAGCGAAAUUCCUUGUCGGGUAAGUUCCGACCCGCACGAAAGGCGUAACGAUUUGGGCACUGUCUCAACGAGAGACUCGGUGAAAUCAUAGUACCUGUGAAGAUGCAGGUUACCCGCGACAGGACGGAAAGACCCCGUGGAGCUUUACUGUAGCCUGAUAUUGAAAUUCGGCACAGCUUGUACAGGAUAGGUAGGAGCCUUUGAAACGUGAGCGCUAGCUUACGUGGAGGCGUUGGUGGGAUACUACCCUAGCUGUGUUGGCUUUCUAACCCGCACCACUUAUCGUGGUGGGAGACAGUGUCAGGCGGGCAGUUUGACUGGGGCGGUCGCCUCCUAAAAGGUAACGGAGGCGCUCAAAGGUUCCCUCAGAAUGGUUGGAAAUCAUUCAUAGAGUGUAAAGGCAUAAGGGAGCUUGACUGCGAGACCUACAAGUCGAGCAGGGUCGAAAGACGGACUUAGUGAUCCGGUGGUUCCGCAUGGAAGGGCCAUCGCUCAACGGAUAAAAGCUACCCCGGGGAUAACAGGCUUAUCUCCCCCAAGAGUUCACAUCGACGGGGAGGUUUGGCACCUCGAUGUCGGCUCAUCGCAUCCUGGGGCUGUAGUCGGUCCCAAGGGUUGGGCUGUUCGCCCAUUAAAGCGGUACGCGAGCUGGGUUCAGAACGUCGUGAGACAGUUCGGUCCCUAUCCGUCGUGGGCGUAGGAAAUUUGAGAGGAGCUGUCCUUAGUACGAGAGGACCGGGAUGGACAUACCUCUGGUGUACCAGUUGUCGUGCCAACGGCAUAGCUGGGUAGCUAUGUAUGGACGGGAUAAGUGCUGAAAGCAUCUAAGCAUGAAGCCCCCCUCAAGAUGAGAUUUCCCAACUUCGGUUAUAAGAUCCCUCGAAGAUGACGAGGUUAAUAGGUUCGAGGUGGAAGCGUGGUGACACGUGGAGCUGACGAAUACUAAUCGAUCGAAGACUUAAUCAA
rnacentral:rRNA from 1 species